rnacentral:rRNA from 2 species
ACGGGAGGCAGCAGUGGGGAAUAUUGCACAAUGGGGGAAACCCUGAUGCAGCAACGCCGCGUGAGUGAAGAAGUAUUUCGGUAUGUAAAGCUCUAUCAGCAGGGAAGAAAAUGACGGUACCUGACUAAGAAGCCCCGGCUAACUACGUGCCAGCAGCCGCGGUAAUACGUAGGGGGCAAGCGUUAUCCGGAUUUACUGGGUGUAAAGGGAGCGUAGACGGCGAAGCAAGUCUGAAGUGAAAGCCCACGGCUCAACCGUGGAACUGCUUUGGAAACUGUUUUGCUAGAGUGCAGGAGGGGCAGGCGGAAUUCCUAGUGUAGCGGUGAAAUGCGUAGAUAUUAGGAGGAACACCGGUGGCGAAGGCGGCCUGCUGGACUGUAACUGACGUUGAGGCUCGAAAGCGUGGGGAGCAAACAGGAUUAGAUACCCUGGUA